UACAAAGGGGGCUAGCGUUGUUCGGAAUUACUGGGCGUAAAGCGCGCGCAGGCGGCCUUUCAAGUCAGGGGUGAAAGCCCGGAGCUCAACUCCGGAAUUGCCUUUGAAACUGUCAGGCUCGAGUACGGGAGAGGUGAGUGGAAUUCCCAGUGUAGAGGUGAAAUUCGUAGAUAUUGGGAAGAACACCGGUGGCGAAGGCGGCUCACUGGCCCGUUUCUGACGCUCAGGCGCGACAGCGUGGGGAUCAAACAGG
rnacentral:rRNA from 1 species